rnacentral:tRNA from 1 species
CGGGCCGUGGCGCAGCCUGGUAGCGCGCUUGCUUGGGGUGCAAGAGGUCCCGAGUUCGAAUCUCGGCGGCCCGACCA